rnacentral:rRNA from 1 species
CACGUAGGGGGCAAGCGUUGUCCGGAUUUAUUGGGCGUAAAGAGCUCGUAGGCGGUUCGGUAAGUCGGGGGUGAAAUCCUGGAGCUCAACUCCAGAACUGCCUUCGAUACUGGCGAUCUUGAGUCCGGAAGAGGUGAGUGGAACUCCUAGUGUAGAGGUGGAAUUCGUAGAUAUUAGGAAGAACACCAGUGGCGAAGGCGGCUCACUGGUCCGGUACUGACGCUGAGGUGCGAAAGCGUGGGGAGCAAACAGG